UACGUAGGGUGCAAGCGUUAAUCGGAAUUACUGGGCGUAAAGCGUGCGCAGGCGGUUUUGUAAGUCUGUCGUGAAAUCCCCGGGCUCAACCUGGGAACUGCAUCUGUGACUGUAUAGCUAGAGUACGGUAGAGGGGGAUGGAAUUCCGCGUGUAGCAGUGAAAUGCGUAGAUAUGCGGAGGAACACCGAUGGCGAAGGCAAUCCCCUGGACCUGUACUGACGCUCAUGCACGAAAGCGUGGGGAGCAAACAGG
rnacentral:rRNA from 1 species